rnacentral:misc_RNA from 1 species
GAUGAAGAACGCAGCGAAAUGCGAUAAGUAAUGUGAAUUGCAGAAUUCAGUGAAUCAUCGAAUCUUUGAACGCACAUUGCGCCCAUCAGUAUUCAGUUGGGCAUGCCUGUCCGAGCGUCAUUUCAACCCUCAGGGCCCGUUCGCGGGAACUGGUGUUGGGGAUCGGCCUCCCCCCGGAGGCCGGCCCCGAAAUGCAGUGGCGGCUCUACCGCGAUCUCCUCUGUGUAGUAGCGAUACCUCGCAGCUGGAUAGUGGUGGUGCCACGCCGUAAAAUCCCAACUUUACCAAGGUUGACCUCGGAUCAGGUAGGAAUACCCGCUGAACUUAAGCAUAUCAAUAAGCGGAGGA